rnacentral:rRNA from 1 species
GCUACGGGUGGCAGCAGUGAGGAAUAUUGGUCAAUGGGCGCGAGCCUGAACCAACCAAGUAGCGUGAAGGAUGACUGCCCUACGGGUUGUAAACUUCUUUUAUAAAGGAAUAAAGUGAGGCACGUGUGCCUUUUUGUAUGUAUUUUAUGAAUAAGGAUCGGCUAACUCCGUGCCAGACGCCGCGGUAAUACGGGGGAUCCGAGCGUUUUCCGGAUUUAUUGGGUUUAAAGGGAGCGCAGAUGGGUUGUUAAGUCAGUUGUGAAAGUUUGCGGCUCAACCGUAAAAUUGCAUUUGAUACUGGCAGCCUUGAGUACAGUUGAGGUAGGCGGAAUUCGUGGUGUAGCGGUGAAAUGCUUAGAUAUCACGAAGAACUCCGAGUGCGAAGGCAGCCUACUAAACUGCCACUGACAUUGAUGCUCGAAAGUGUGGGUAUCAAACAGGAUUAGAUACCCCAGUAGUC